UUACUGUUUAACUUUGUACAAGUGACACAAGCCUUUUGUACAACUAUUUGAAGCAUUGUUUGGACGUUCUUCUCCCUAAAACAAAAGCAGAGAAAUAUUCUAAUAGAGUGAGAGAGACGACGGGGAAAGGGAAACCGACCAUGGAAUCCGGCCGGCCACCCUAAUCCGACAAUAGAAACGUCAGGGAUGGUGGUGUGCGAACGAGGAGAUGGUGAAAGGUUGAGGGAGACUCACGACCACAAACGAGUUAUGGGUCCAACAACCCAAAUCAGUGGCGGCUAGGGUGCCGCUGACGAGUGACAGCGGGAUGUAGGGUUUCGAGACCAGAUCGACACAAGAACCAGUUAGGGUUUUCAAGGUGGUCAGCACUAACGGUGGUCUCACUACAAUGGUGGCUGUUAACUACGAUCACAGGGAUUUAGGUCCAAUUUUCAGCAGCUAGGAGGUUAUCCUGACAACCACAGACGAUAUAAGGGAGGUUGUGGUGAUCGAAUAUGGUUUCAAUCAAACAAUGGGUGGCAACAAAUGUUUGCUGUGGUGACCACCGGCGGUAGAGAUGGCCUCCAGAACAGUGUUGCAAUUCAUGGAUUGUGGCAACAAGAGUAUUGGGAAGGUGUAUCUUGGUAAUUCUGUGACAAAAUGUGUAUGGAAAGGUGCAUUCAUGUGGCAACAAAGUAUUCAGAAAAAAGAAAAGCAAAUGGUGGAUUGAUGAUGAUUUUCGAAACAUUGGUAGUGAUUGGAAGUUGUUGGAGCUAAACAAGGGAUUGAUUGGACACGAGUAAAGUGAUGGCCAACUGGUCAACUUAAUCAACCAAGUCAGCUCAGUCAACCGGGACAAGGCUGGCCAACUGUGAUCGACUCAGUCAACAGAGGUUCGGAAAUGAUCAGCUUGCAACUGAACUCAGUCACGUACUCACGUGUGGUACCUAUGAUUUAAUGGCUCCGUCGCAACGCACGGGUCAUAAAUUCUAGUUACUUAAGUAAACAAAAGUUUAGUAUUGCUAAGUUGGUUUAAACAUCACGGAUGGUUGAAGUGGUGUGGGUUCAGUAAUACUCUUACAUAUUAAUCCGUGGAUAUUGUUGAUCAUUGAUAAUGAAUUACAAUCUUUAAGAGUCGUCUUCCCCGAAAAUAAAUCAGAAUCUUUGCAACGAUCAAAUGUCGCCUGACAAAAAAAACAUAAUGGCCCAUCCGACAACUGGGAUUCAUUCUUCACAGCCGGAAACUCCAUUCACGACAACCAAAUCUCAAUCAGAUUUAAAGAAGGUGAUAUCUAAACUUGAAUUUGAGCAAUUGUUGGAAUUCAUUAAAGAUCAGAUA